rnacentral:rRNA from 1 species
GACAGAGGGUGCAAACGUUGUUCGGAAUUACUGGGCGUAAAGCGCGCGUAGGCGGCUUUGCAAGUCGGGUGUGAAAUCCCCAGGCUUAACCUGGGAACUGCAUUCGAGACUGCACUGCUAGAGUAUGGGAGAGGGAAGUGGAAUUUCCGGUGUAGCGGUGAAAUGCGUAGAUAUCUGGAGGAAUACCGGUGGCGAAGGCGGCAUCCUGGACCGGCAUUGACGCUGAGGAGCGAAAGCCAGGGGAGCAAACGGG